rnacentral:rRNA from 1 species
CCUACGGGUGGCAGCAGUGAGGAAUAUUGGUCAAUGGCCGGAAGGCUGAACCAGCCAUGCCGCGUGAAGGUCAGUGCCCUAUGGGCGUUAAACUUCUUUUGUGCGGGAGCAAUAAUGGUCACGUGUGGCCAGACGAGAGUACCGUACGAAUAAGCAUCGGCUAACUCCGUGCCAGCAGCCGCGGUAAUGCGGGGGAUGCAAGCGUUAUCCGGAUUUAUUGGGUUUAAAGGGUGCGUAGGCUGGGAGGUAAGUCAGGGGUGAAAUGCCCCCGCUCAACGGGGUGAAGUGCCAUUGAUACUGCCUGGCUGGAAUGCGGAUGCCGUGGGAGGAAUGUGUGGUGUAGCGGUGAAAUGCAUAGAUAUCACACAGAACACCGAUUGCGAAGGCAUCUCACGAAUCCGCGAUUGACGCUGAUGCACGAAAGCGUGGGUAUCAAACAGGAUUAGAUACCCCUGUAGUC